UGUGUGUUGGAAUGGUGUGUCUAGUUCUUAGGUGUAUAAUCGGCAUCUCCUUUUAUCUAUCUAAAUAUAACAGAUAUGUCCGCGUGCAAAAUUAUAAGCUAAAUACAAAUAUACAAACUAAUUUAAUCUAUUUGUCAUGUUUAUAUCUCCAUAUUUCAUGAUAUUUUGGAACGAGAUUUGAAUACAAAUAACGUCAGGUAAUUAUGGACUAUAAAAUUUAUGUUAAGUCAACAAUUUAAAAUACCAUAAACAUACUUAUGAUUUACGCGAUAUAAACCAAUAGGCUGGGGAGUGUUUCCGGAGUGUUUCCUUUAUUUGUGUCAUUAUAUAUCCUGUUGCUUUAUCAAUUACAAGCAUCCUGUAGUAUUAAACGUAGCAACUUUUACAACGCACUUGUUUAAAAUCAGAUUUACAAAAAAUCCGUUUUUAAUUUCUAGGUAUAUACGUAAGAAGUACUUUGAUAUAGUAAGGUUCCUUAAAAGUCAAGUUAAAAGAAUUUUGAUGUACAUUUUACAUUUGUGAUUAACUCAUUGACAUUCUUGACAUUUCUUAAUUUUGAUUUGAGAAACCUAACCUUUUUUCGCAUUUUUCAUAGUCAGAUAUAUUGGCCACAUGUCAAUUAUGCAUGUCUUUGUGUGUCUGUGCCUUUCUAUUAAUCAAUUUAUUAUAUUCUAAAAUGUUACCGACAAGAAAUUCAUAUGUUAAACUAUUUGAUUGUUUUAAAAUCAAUGAAUCUCAGCAAUUAUUUUUUUCUCAUACAACUGAGAACAGUGAUGCCAAAAAUGCAACAAUGUAUACUGCAUUUCAUAAAAAAUGAUAACUUUUUUAAGAUAAAAAAAAAGUGACGGUUCUAGUUAAUGACAUUACUUGCUUAGACAACUAAUCGAACUUAAACACUUUGUGGUGUAAGGAUGACUUAUAUCUAUCUGGUUCCCUAUGAUCUAGAUUAUGCAGCAAUGUGGGAGACUAUGUUGACAGACGUUGCUACAACAGUAAUAACAAGUCUUCUACUGGUAACCAUCCGUGCAAAAAGAUAUUUCCAUUAUGUUUUUUUUUUCUAGUUUACAAUCAAUUAUGUGGCCUUUAAUAGUUUAAUUAGAUGCAAUAUGAUAUCUCUCUCUUUAUUUCUCAGUGGGUAUUUUUGUGUUGAAUUACGGUCACAACAUAUUUUUGCUGAAUAAUUGACAAUUUAUUCAUUUUUCAACUUGUAUGAUCAGAAGAUAAGUUUUGAAAAAGUCGUCAUAUAUACCAGGAUUGAAAUUUUGUAUUUGCGCCAGAAUCGUGUUUCGUCUACAAAAGACUCAUCAGUGACGCUCGAUUAAAAAAAAGGUGAAAAGGCCAAAUAAAGUACGAAGUUGAAGAGCAUGCAGGACCCAAAAAUUCCUAAAAGUUUUUCCAAAUACAGCUAAGGUAAUCGAUUCCUGAGAUAGAAAAGCCUUGGUUAAUGGUGUUUGGUUUGUGUUGUAUAUAUAAAAAAGAAGAUGUGGUAUGAUUGCCAAUGAGACAACUGUCCACAAGAGAUCAAAAUGACAGAGACAUUAACAACUAUAGGUCACCGUACGGCCUUCAACAAUGAGCAAAGUAUGUUCUUUACUACUCAGUCUAGAACGUUGGCAGUUUAGAGCACGACAUACUGUUUCUACAUUUUUGUUGAAAAUCGAUUGUUGACCUCAAGAUGUCAUUAUGUGUUGUUGGGUUGUUGUCUCAUUAACGGAUACAAAUCAUUUCCUUUUUAUCCAGAAGAUGUAACAAUAAAGAAAGCUUAAGCCUUUUAAUAGAUUCAGCCGUAGUAGUAUUAUUUGUUUUGUUUCUAUCUUUCUAUCCUGUCCAUUGAUGUCCUCACUCUUCAAUGAUGAAUAUAUUAGGCCAUUAGUUUUCUCAAUUGCGUUGAUUCCUAUUUUUUAAUGUCGUGGUCUAUUAAAGCCGACUUUACGGUAUGGGUUUUUCUCAUUGUUGAAGGCCGUGCGGUUGCUUAUAAUUGCUUACAUCCACUUCGUUGUAACUUUGGUGGAUCAUAGUUGACUUAUUUAUCAUACCAUAUCGCCUUAUUUCUAUAUGGAAGAUUUUUUUUUAAUUCCCCUUUAUUGUUU
rnacentral:lncRNA from 1 species